GUCGUCUAUGCCACCUUUCCCCUCAUUUUAGAGGCUAAUGUGGACAGUCCCUCACAUGCAGUUUACAGCUAAGCCCUCAGUAUAGCCCUACAAAUUUUAGAUACUGCCGAUGGCGCGUAGAUCCAGUACAUUGGGCCGGAGUUUCCAGUACGCCGAACUAGAGCCAGGAUUAAUAUCAGACGGACCUCUCUGUGGGUGGAUGGAUUCAGAGAUGACCCCAAAGAUGCGGCCAUGACUGUGUCACAUGGACGUUAUUGAUGAAACCAUCAUGAUUUAGUUUUUUGGUGAUAAAUCAACAGACAAAGUGUGUAUAAUUUGUGGAUAAAUAGUGUUAAAGCUAGAAACUUUUCAACGAAUUGACAUAUUUAAGGCAUAUUUUCCGAAAAUGUAAAAAAGUUACGACCCUUCAAAUACAUGAUUGUUUUUGAGUGAAAAUUUAAGAAAUAAGAAAUUCUACCUCUUUUAAACCCAAUAUAUAUACCGGCUUGGAGACCGAAAUCCA